GACGAACGCUGGCGGCGUGCCUAACACAUGCAAGUCGAACGGAAAGGCCCUGCCUUUGUGGGGUGCUCGAGUGGCGAGCGGGUGAGUAACACGUGCGUAAACUGUCCUUGACUUUGGGAUAACUUCAGGAAACUUGGGCUAAUACCGGAUAGGAGCUCCUGCUGCAUGGUGGGGGAUGGAAAGCUGCGGCGGUUGGGGCUGGUCGCGGGGCUUAUCAGCUUGUUGGUGGGGUAGUCGCAUCCCAAGGGAUUGACGGGUAGCCGGCCUGGGAGGGGGAACGGGCACAUUACGACUGCGGUACGGCGCAGACGCCAACGGGAGGCAACAGUGGGGAGUAUUGCACAGUGAGCGGGAGCGUGGUACAGCGGCGUUGGGUGCGGGAUGAGGGCCUUCGCGGUGUGAACCGCUUUCGUCUGAUACGGGGCGGUAGUGACGGUAAUGGGUAAAGAAGCACCGGCUAACUACGUG
rnacentral:rRNA from 1 species